UCUAGUGAUGAUGGCAAAGAGGUCACACCCGUUCCCAUACCGAACACGGAAGUUAAGCUCUUUAGCGCCGAUGAUAGUUGGGGGCUUCCCCCUGUGAGAGUAGGACGUCGCUAGAC
rnacentral:rRNA from 1 species